GGGUGCCUACGGGAGGUAGCAGUGAGGAAUAUUGGUCAAUGGGAGAGAUCCUGAACCAGCCACGCCGCGUGAGGGAAGACGGCCCUAUGGGUUGUAAACCUCUUUUGUCGGAGAACAAAACCCGGGACGUGUCCCGGACUGCGUGUAUCCGAAGAAAAAGCAUCGGCUAACCCCGUGCCAGCAGCCGCGGUAAUACGGAGGAUGCGAGCGUUAUCCGGAUUUAUUGGGUUUAAAGGGUGCGUAGGCGGUCUGUUAAGUCAGCGGUAAAAUUGCGGGGCUCAACCCCGUCGAGCCGUUGAAACUGG
rnacentral:rRNA from 1 species